rnacentral:rRNA from 1 species
UAGGGAAUCUUCCACAAUGGACGCAAGUCUGAUGGAGCAACGCCGCGUGAGUGAAGAAGGUCUUCGGAUCGUAAAGCUCUGUUGUUGGUGAAGAAGGAUAGAGGCAGUAACUGGUCUUUAUUUGACGGUAAUCAACCAGAAAGUCACGGCUAACUACGUGCCAGCAGCCGCGGUAAUACGUAGGUGGCAAGCGUUGUCCGGAUUUAUUGGGCGUAAAGCGAGCGCAGGCGGAAUGAUAAGUCUGAUGUGAAAGCCCACGGCUCAACCGUGGAACUGCAUCGGAAACUGUCAUUCUUGAGUGCAGAAGAGGAGAGUGGAACUCCAUGUGUAGCGGUGGAAUGCGUAGAUAUAUGGAAGAACACCAGUGGCGAAGGCGGCUCUCUGGUCUGCAACUGACGCUGAGGCUCGAAAGCAUGGGUAGCGAACAGGAUUAGAUACCCUGGUAGUCCAUGCCGUAAACGAUGAGCGCUAGGUGUUGGGGACUUUCCGGUCUCAGUGCCGCAGCAAAUCGCAUUAAGCGCUCCGCCUGGGGAGUACGACCGCAAGGUUGAAAC